GGCGGACGGCUGAGUAACACGUGGGUGACCUGCCCGGAUGCGGGGGACAACCGCCCGAAAGGGUGGCUAAUACCGCAGAUGUCGUUCCUUCGGUGGGAUGACUAAACCCUUCUUUGUGGGGGGCGUUCGGAGGGGCCCGCGGCCGAUUAGCUGGCUGGUGGGGUGACGGCCUACCAGGGCGACGAUCGGUAGCUGGUCUGAGAGGAUGAUCAGCCAGACUGGGACUGCGACACGGCCCAGACUCCUACGGGAGGCAGCAGUUAGGAAUUUUGGGCAAUGGGGGCAACCCUGACCCAGCAACGCCGCGUGGGUGACGAAGGCCUUCGGGUCGUAAAGCCCUUUUCCGAGGGACGAUGGUGACGGUACCUCGGGAAUCAGCCCCGGCUAACUACGUGCCAGCCGCC
rnacentral:rRNA from 1 species